UGUAAACAAUAUGAAUGUCCCACGUAUGUGUAUGGAAUAUUAAUCCAUUUUGCUUGUGUGUGUGUGUGUGUGUGUGUAUUUCAUACACUCACCCAAUCUCAGAGGAAAUUCACAAAAAUGUUAUUAACAGUGGCUGUUUGGUGCUGAGAUUAUGAGAAGUAUUUGUUUAUUUAUUUGCUUAUUUGUGCAUUCUAACUGAUUCUAUAAAGAACAUGUAUUAUUUGAAGAGUAAAAAGAAUAGAAAAUAACCAAAUGUCAAGGCUGCAACUGGGGUGGAGCCCAGCUCUGUGGAUGUUGCCAAGGGCCCUUCCCGGGAGAGCCAUGUGGGGUACCCACAUUCCACCUUCUCCUCAGGCCUAGCCACCACCUGUGGCCUCCUGCGGGCCAGACUGGACUGCAGCUGCCAGGACCUAGUGAUGGCCCCAAACCUGAGAGUGGGCCCAGGGCCCCACCCCGCUAACCCUGCUGAAAAAGGCCAGAGGGCACAUGAAGCCUUUGCUCCCUGGAUCAGCUCACCCUCUCCAGUUUUCCUUCCAGGCGGACAAGCCAUACACUGAAGAACAGCUGCAGAGGAAAGGCUGGACCAGGUGUGCUGGGAGUCACCAGGAGCAAGGUGGUGAAGGAGCACAUGAAUCCGGGCAA
ensembl:lncRNA